GACGAACGCUGGCGGCGUGCCUAAUACAUGCAAGUAGAACGCUGAAGGAGGAGCUUGCUCUUCUGGAUGAGUUGCGAACGGGUGAGUAACGCGUAGGUAACCUGCCUGGUAGCGGGGGAUAACUAUUGGAAACGAUAGCUAAUACCGCAUAAGAGUAGAUGUUGCAUGACAUUUGCUUAAAAGGUGCAAUUGCAUCACUACCAGAUGGACCUGCGUUGUAUUAGCUAGUUGGUGGGGUAACGGCUCACCAAGGCGACGAUACAUAGCCGACCUGAGAGGGUGAUCGGCCACACUGGGACUGAGACACGGCCCAGACUCCUACGGGAGGCAGCAGUAGGGAAUCUUCGGCAAUGGACGGAAGUCUGACCGAGCAACGCCGCGUGAGUGGAGAAGGUUUUCGGAUCGUAAAGCUCUGUUGUAAGAGAAGAACGAGUGUGAGAGUGGAAAGUUCACACUGUGACGGUAUCUUAACAGAAAGGGACGGCUAACUACGUG
rnacentral:rRNA from 1 species